rnacentral:rRNA from 1 species
GACGAACGCUGGCGGCAUGCCUAAUACAUGCAAGUCGAGCGAACAGAUGAAGUGCUUGCACUUCUGACGUUAGCGGCGAACGGGUGAGUAACACGUAAGGAAUCUACCUAUAAGCGGGGGAUAACAUUCGGAAACGGGUGUUAAUACCGCAUAAUAUCUUCUUCCGCAUGGAAGAAGAUUGAAAGACGGCUCUGCUGUCACUUAUAGAUGACCUUGCGGUGCAUUAGUUAGUUGGUGGGGUAACGGCCUACCAAGACGAUGAUGCAUAGCCGACCUGAGAGGGUGAUCGGCCACAUUGGGACUGAGACACGGCCCAAACUCCUACGGGAGGCAGCAGUAGGGAAUCUUCCGCAAUGGGCGAAAGCCUGACGGAGCAAUGCCGCGUGAGUGAAGAAGGCCUUCGGGUCGUAAAACUCCGUUAUAAGAGAAGAACAAAUUGUAGAGUAACUGCUACAGUCUUGACGGUAUCUUAUCAGAAAGCCACGGCUAACUACGUGCCAGCCGCCGCUGUAA